ACCUGUGGCUCAGCCUCUCCCUGAGAACCUGGUGGGACAGGGAGACAGAUCCUCUCUGGGAUGACACCGGGAUGGGGAGCUGGGGAAUGCCUGGGAUGAAGCCAGCAGGGACAGGGGGACCAGAGGGGCCGGAGGAGCCGGCAGGAACGUGGAGCAGCUGAGCAGGACACGACUGUGAGAGCAGACCACGGAUUUCAGGGCAUCCUUUGUGGACACCUGGGCACAGCACGAGCCCUGGAGCAGAGACUGCUGACACAGCGGGAUUUCACAGCUUGGAAUUUAUGGUUCUUUUGAGAGACAUGCGCAAGAAAGGAGAAAAAAAUACCCUGCCAUCAGCACAAACCCAUCAACUCUGCUGGGAAAGAGCUGGGGUCCGGGGAGCCCCCAGGGAUCCCCAGGUCAUUCCUCAAGGAAAGAGACCCCCCCACACUGGCAGCAAGAGCUCCCAACCCAGUUCCAGUGUGCCCAGUGCUUCCAGCUGCCUGCCACAUGCCAGCCUCGGCGGGCCCUGCUGCCUCAAGAUGCAGAAACGUCGAUGGAGCUGCCUGGAGGCUGUGCCAGGGCGUUCUGGUCCUCUGGGCAAGUCAGGACCGGCUGCUCGUGCUCAGCCCCAGCAGCACCAAAGCAGCUCUGAUCUCACCCUCCUUCCCUCCUGCCCACCUCCAGCCCUGCUGCCACGGGGCAGAGUCACCCCAAGGAAUGUGGGUGAGCCAGAGCGAGCAGGGCUCAGCCCUGGUCCUGCCACCUUCCCCUCAGUGCCUGCACCAGCCCCAGCCUCGGGGACACCCCCUGUUUGUCCCCCCUAACCCAGGGAGCUGCUCGUGCUCUGCUGUGGGGAGAGCUCCUGCUGCAGUUCCAUGGAGCUGCAGAAACAGCAGAGGAGAAACCCACCCUGGCACGGCGGCGCUGCCUGGGGAUGAUGGACGGUUAUGGACCAUCUGCACUUCCAGGAGGGUAUGGAUUUAUGGGCAGCACAGACACUUUGCAGAGUGUCCAUUACUAUAACUCACUGGCCUCUCCAAAGCUGUGCUGGUCCGCCCCUCCGCCGCUGCUGGGGGAAGUUUGGGUUAAGAGCUGGCAGGAAGGAAAAGUGAUUUCCCCGACUGUUUUUCACAUCUGCGGAGGAGCUGGGGAGAGCCACGGAUGUUUCUAUCCCAGCUGCACUGCCUGUGAGCACCACGGUUCCCUGAGGGCAGCCCAGGUCCACUCCAACAGCCCCAGCCCUCUCGCCCUGCUGCCCACGGGCCCCUGCCAGCAGCAGCUCCUCCCUCGUUCCCCCUUCCUGAUCCCCCUUCCUUUCACCCACCACUUCCACCAGGAAGAAAUCCCUACCAGCAGGACCAAGGAUUGACCAGCAUGUCCCGGGAGCGAGUGGGUGGAAGCAAGCAGCAGAUGGGACCUCUGAGCACGGAGAGAGAUACACGUUGAAUAACAAUGGUGAAUUCCCCUGAGCUCUGGUGUUUUUAAUGCUGGAUUAGGCUGUCAGGCAGCAAUUAAAUGGGGUAAUAAAAAGCUAAGUGCUCGUAUUUCAAGGUUCCUGCCUCCUGCACAGUGGGGAGGAGCAGGGCAGGGGGCUGCUCUGCUCCCCACGGGGUCCAGCCCGGUGUUUCCAAGGAAGAGCACAGGAACUUUUCAAAGGAGGUUUGUAGGUGCUGCUGGGACACCCCCAACCCUGCAGUGCUCCCAGCCUGCUCGUGCUGCCUCUCCCAGUGGCCAGGAGCAGGCUGGCUUGGCCUGUUCUAACUCUCCUCUCUCCCAGGACCCAGGAGCAUCCCCAGGGAUGUCCCUUCCCAUCCCAACACCCAGCCCAGCACGCUGGAUCAGAUGUAAUGAACCCCUGUGCUUUCUUAACCUCGUCGUGCAGCUCCUGGUUGGAGCCCAGCUUUAUCAGUUUUUAUCCUGUGUAAUAUUCAUCACGCUGGUUUAUUUAUGGGCCCCCUCUUCGGGAAGGUAUUUUUCAGGCCUGGUGAAUAAAACAUAAGGCUGUGCGGGUUGUCAGAGGGAAUGCGGCUCCUCUGAUGUCAGCCUGACUAACGGCCUUUAGUUUUCUCCAACGACUGCACUUUGAGAGAAAUUUAUUUGUAUUUGGGUUCCCGUUGGUCGGUGAGAUGUGAAUUCUUUCCCCUUCAGAAUAAAUGAGGCUUCAG